CUGUAGCCGGCGUGACCACAGCACUGCAAGGUGAACUGGAGCUGGUCGAUGGUGGUUUUGUGCGACGAUUCCUCCGCGUAGAGCAUCAUCGAGGCGUUGAAAACACCGGCAAUAUCCUCCCGCCGUAUGUUGAGACACCUAUAGAAAUGUGAGAAUGAAAGAAUAAAAACGUCAGCUCGUCAACGCGGAUGUCACGAUCUGUCAUAAACGAUUUUGCUUUGUUUCUAUGAAUACGGAGGGAUCAUCGCCUCUGGAUUAGCGAAUUUUGUUUUUUAUUUUCAAACACACCGCCAGAUCUGUUCGGCUAGCUGCGUAUGAAACGUCGGCGAGAUUGAGAAGCAAGACGCGUCAUCGCCUCGAUAGGUCUUUAAAGAACACCUGUUUCGGCGCCGGAUAUCAGAUUAGAUCUUUGUUACUGUCAUGUGUACAGUGCUACGUCCAGAAUCGCCGAUAAAAAUAAAACUCGAAUGAGCUACACACGUUUGUAUAAUUGUAUUUCUGCAACGAUCUAACGUACAGCUAUACGGUAACUUGUGUUUAUCCAAGUUCCGAAUUGAGUCUCAUACUUAUUGUUAAGGAGAAUAGUCGACUUAUUAUUGUAGAGAAAAAGAUACCGUACAAAAAAAAAUACAAAAA